rnacentral:rRNA from 2 species
GGUGGCCGGUCCCGGCGCCAGCGCGCAGCCAAGUCCUUUGGAACAAGGCGCCUGAGAGGGUGACAGCCCCGUGGCAGUUUGUGCUGGUGCCGCCUCGGCCCACCGACGAGUCGAGUUGUUUGGGAAUGCAGCUCUAAGUGGGUGGUAAAUUCCAUCUAAAGCUAAAUACCGGCGAGAGACCGAUAGCGAACAAGUACAGUAAUGGAAAGAUGAAAAGCACUUUGAAAAGAGAGUGAAACAGUACGUGAAAUUGUUGAAAGGGAAGGGCUUGCACCCAGACACGGCCUUCUGGCCGGGCCAGCAUCGGGUGGGAGGGAGCGACAACGAGCAGUCGAUGUAGUACAGCCCUCUGGGCUGUGCAUUAUACGUCUUGCUUUCUGGCUCCUCUCCCGCCCGAGGACCGCAGCAAUAAGGAUGCUGGCGCAAUGGUUGCAAGCCACCCGUCUUGAAACACGGACC